GUGCCUACUGAGCUGAUAACAGUUGAUAUUGUUUGCACUGGCUCAGUUCAGCAGGAACAG
rnacentral:pre_miRNA from 1 species